ACUCUUUUAAGCUGGGAACCCUCAACGCUUCCCCCCUCUCCUCCCCCGCUCAAAAUGGCGAAUCCCAAUCGCAAGUACUCGUGCGAGAGCGCUGACAAAACCCUAGAAUGGAUGAACGCCAUUGCAGAUUUCCUCCGACCUUACAAACCCCUAAUCGAUUCUCACGUCGUCAAUUUCCUCAAGGAGAGGUUAUGGGAGCUAGUGGAUGAGCAAUGGAUGGAAUGCCUUAGAAAAGAAUCCGUGGAUAAUUUACUUGGUAUACCUUCAGGAUUAGUUCAGGACUACUGGCCCACUUCACUCAAAGAGUUUGUAAUGACCUUGAGGUCUCUUGCGCUACCUCGUGAGCAAAAAUCGUUUCAUGAGAUGUUACCUAAUUUGCGUGUGGCAUCGCUUGGCACUGUGUUAUCUCAAGGAAUGAAUUCAAAGAAGAAACAUGAAGUGGAAAUCCUGGCUGCAGUUGUAAAUGCUAUAGCGCAUGUUGCUGAUGCCCAGACCAUUAUUGAUGUUGGCUCUGGACAGGGCUAUCUUGCACAAGCCUUGGCUUUUGACUACCAACUCUCUGUAAUCGCAAUAGAUGCUUCUCUGCACCAUUCCACUGUUACGGCUGCUCGUGCUGAGAGAAUUAAGAAGCAUUAUGCUGCCAAAUUGCGUAAAUCUGGAUAUGGAGAUAUUCAUCUGAAGGUACCACAUGUUGUCACUUGCCAUGUUCUUUCAAGUGACACUCUUACAGCAUUAAGCAGUUCAUUGUAUAAUAAAAACAUUGAAGAAGCAGAUUCUCUUGGGUGCUCAAUGUUAGAAGGAAAAGGAAGUUCUUCUGCACACGGUUAUGAAGUUUCUUCACUGGUCCUUGUUGGCCUUCAUGCUUGUGGAGAUCUUUCAGUGAGCAUGCUUAGGACUUUUGUUGACUGUGAACAAGUAAAGGCACUAGUUGGCAUUGGUUGUUGUUACAACCUGCUAUCUGAAGAUUGUUUUGAGAAUGAUGACAUCCCCUGUGGUUUUCCAAUGAGCAUUGCUGCAAAAGUAUCCAGGUUAAGCCUUGGAAAAAAUGCUCGUGAUCUUGCUUGUCAGAGUGCUGAGAGAUGGAGAAAACUCACUAAAGAUGCUGCGCUUCAGAAUUUUGAUUUACAUGCAUUUCGUGCCGCCUUUCAAAUGCUUCUUGAGAGAUACUACCCUGGAGUCCUAAACUCGAGUCCUUCAAUUGGUCGUCAAGGGAAAGCUUUACGACGCAAACAGUUGAGGAGAUCUAUUGAAUUUCAGUCGGGCCCUGGAGGAAGUGAACUUCCUGCAUCAAAUCCCAACAGUGACUUUAUUGGAAAUGUUACUUCAAUGUCCAUGAUUUCUUCUCAAGUUCAUUUGACCAGUAGUCGCUACAUUGAUGCCGCUGCUGCUAUCUCGAAAGACGAUAGUUGUAUGACCUAUUUGACAUCCAAGUUUUAUUGUGACAUGGAAAGCAAAGAUAUUAUGGAAAGCCAAGCAGCUCAGUCUUUCCAAACACGGGAAAAAUAUGUUCUUUUUAAAGAGUUUUGUGAAAUGGGACUGAGUCGCCUUAGUUUGGAACAUUUACGAGAUAUUGAUAUGCUGAAAAUAUGGAGGGAAGUUCAACAGUUCUUGGAACUUGUAGGUCCCUACUGGUCUCUUCGGGCUGCUGUUGGGCAGCUAGUAGAGACAUAUAUCUUGCUUGAUAGGUUAUUGUUCCUCCAAGAAAAAGGCAAUUUGAUAGAAGCAUGCCUAUUCCCUAUUUUUAAUUCUGAUAUUUCACCAAGGAACAUUGCAAUAAUUGCUCGAAAAGCUGGUCUAGGUUCAUGAAUCUGCUUACGAUACAAAUUUGUAUUGUAUGCUUAUAACAGGAAUUGAAAGGAUGAACCUUUAGCAUGGGGUAUUGAUUCUGCUUCAUUAAUGGUUCCUAAAUUUCAUAGGUUUAUUUAAUCCAAGUGGUUUACCCUGAAUGCAGCAACCACUUCAAGCCACACAUGACUAUGGGGAAAAUCUUAUUAUUAUCUAUCAGCUAUGGGAGAAUGAAGAAUUUUGAGGUGUAGCUCUGAAUCGGCCACAUCAGCUUCUCAACAAAAUGACAAGGAACAAAGCCAUCAGAGGUAUGCAAGAAAAGUAUGUGUACUGUAGCAUUAGAAAAUCUUCAGACUGGAGCCUUUCAAAAUUAAGCGAGUCGGUUCAUACCUUUAAUUUCCUACCUCAAAAAUCUUUAUCACUUAUUUAAUUUCCUACCUCAAAAAUCUUUAUCACUUAAUUGCACACUGUGUGACAUCUUAAAGUGUUGUAUCUUUCUAUGUGACCUUUUAAUGAUAGAGCUAACUGCUUUUAGAAGUGACCUAAGGCGUUGUAUCUUGGAUGGAAGUUUAUGUGCUGUUGACAUGUUUAUUAUUUUGCAACGGAGGCUAUCAAAGGGUUACUUUCACAAA